GCCCUUGGCUGUAACUCCAUGAACAGUCCCAAUCUCCUCUGAUCUUGGAAGCUAAGCAGGGUCAGGCCUGGUUAGUACUUGGAUGGGUAAAGGAAUGAGAGCAAGGCAGGAUUGGCGGCA
rnacentral:rRNA from 1 species